AGACCUUCUAGCCUGAGAAUUCAUGGAGACCAUCUGCUCCACUCUGAUCUGCGAGGAUCCUCCCAGAGCUCUGCACUCUGUGCUCCCACAUCCCACACGGCUUUCAGGCCCCACUGCUUUUAUCUGGGGGCAGGCAAAGAGGAUGACUGUCUUCCUCCUGGUGGUGAGGACACUAACCAAAAUGAGUCCUGUCAUUUGAACAAGCUGUGUACUGAGCCACGUGGGGAUGCCACAGUUUGGCUCAGAAACUGGAGGGAGAAAACAUCUGGUGUCCAUCUUCCACCAGUCAAGGUCUGCAACACAUGGGAACGUCACCCUGAGAAGGUCUGAU